ensembl:lncRNA
AAAAGACACAUUAAACAAAAUUGGAAUAGGUUAGCUCUAUGUCAACAUUUGUUUUAUUUUAAAUGCAGAAAAAAGAAAGAAAGCAGAUAAAGAUUACAGAAUAAGUAAUUUCUAUAAUGCAAAGUUUACUUGCUGAAUUGCUGGUUCUUUAAUUCUUCUUUUCUGAACUUAGCAAAGAAAGACCUGAGAUACUUACCUAAACACAUGAAGUCUGUCAUUUUAAGGGAUGCAUUUAUAAUCAAAUUACUUUUUUCUUCCUUGGUUAUGUCUGAGUAGAAUGAAUGUUGGUCUGAAGUAGGAAGAAAAAAACAUUAGAAAGAAAAUGCAAGCUAUCUUUUUCUGUGGAAAUCACACGUGAGCAUACCAAUGUCCAGUUGUAUUUUCUAUUAGUAGAUUGCUAAGAAAGUUUAAUUGGCAUAACAGCAGAAAACUUGAACAGAAAUUGCUGAAGUUAAAAGGAUCAUAUUGACAUUGUUGUAUAUCCAGAAUAAUUUCAUUUAAUUCAAUGCUUACUUUUUUAAUUCACUUUCCUAAUGAAGCAUAUUGUUUGAAUUUGAACAGACCAAAAUAGCCUUGUAAACUUACACUGCUUAAUGAAGUCAUAUGAACAAUAUCAAUAUUUAGAAUCAGAUGCUCAAAACGUGACGCGCUGGAAUAAUACUUAUUUUCUAUCUAAAUAAUUGUAUGUGGAGAUCAGCGUGGACCCUUGUAAAGCUACCAUUCUGACAAACAGUAAACUAAUGAAUGGUUUUAUAAAUUAAUAGUAAACUACAUUAUGAGUAAAGAUUUGACUGAUCGGAUCCUAAUUCUGAAAUAAAUACCCCAGUGAAAGAAGAUCAAUGCAAAUCUGAAAAACCUCAACCUACAAGCAUUCAACACAGAUAGCUUCAGGCAGAAAUCACUCACUCAGCAGAAGCAUUUACUGGAUUCACAGUCAGCGCAGAAGAAUUUACAGCUAGAGCAAGAACUUGACCAUCCAACUUAUAAGUUAACUGUGGACCACAUAAUUCUUUGCAUGUUCUUUCUAUACGUGCUUUUGUAUCACUGGGAUUCACUUCAUGGGAUUUUGAUGCUUCAAUACUGGCUUCUGAACUCCUGUCAAACAGUCUUCCUUCUGCUCCUUCCUUUAUUGAAAAGCAUUUGUUAAUGACUAAACAAGCUCUAUUAAAAAUGCUAAAUAACCCUAUUAACAAGAUUAACUAGAAUAGACCAGUUUAACUCCUGACUGAUUGAGAGCCAACAAAACAGCACAGCUGCCAAAAGAUUUGAAGGGCAGUUAUUAAGUCAUAGUUCCAGGCUGAAAUAAUUUAUUUGCUACUAAUACACAUCACUUGAAAAGUCUAAAGAUUACCUCAAGAUCCAGUUAAGUAACGCAAAAAUUGCUACUCCACAAUCAGAGAUACCAUCUAGUUACAUGGCACAAAGAAAAUAUGGAAUAACAAUACCAUAUCCUGUGUUCACAUUUGCCCAUUAGCAAUCCUGUCACAGCAGUACAAUCAUGGACAUUUCAAGCAUGCAAAUAUUAAGAUUACAAAUAAAAAUGAUCAGCAAUUAAAAGAAAAUCA